AGAGUUUGAUCCUGGCUCAGAUUGAACGCUGGCGGCAUGCCUUACACUUGCAAGUCGAACGGUACGGGCUUCGGGUGCCGACGAGUGGCGAACGGGUGAGUAAUGCAUCGGAACGUACCUUUCAGUGGGGGAUAACGUAGCGAAAGUUACGCUAAUACCGCAUAUUCUGUGAGCAGGAAAGCAGGGGAUCACAAGACCUUGCGCUGAUUGAGCGGCCGAUGUCAGAUUAGCUAGUUGGUGAGGUAAAGGCUCACCAAGGCGACGAUCUGUAGCGGGUCUGAGAGGAUGAUCCGCCACACUGGAACUGAGACACGGUCCAGACUCCUACGGGAGGCAGCAGUGGGGAAUUUUGGACAAUGGGGCAACCCUGAUCCAGCCAUGCCGCGUGAGUGAAGAAGGCCUUCGGGUUGUAAAGCUCUUUCGGCCGGGAAGAAAUCGCAUGGGUUAAUACCCUGUGCGGAUGACGGUACCGGCAUAAGAAGCACCGGCUAACUACGUG
rnacentral:rRNA from 1 species